rnacentral:sRNA from 1 species
UAAGUCUCACGAUUUAUAGUUGACCUGG